UGGGGAAUAUUGCACAAUGGAGGAAACUCUGAUGCAGCGACGUCGCGUGAAUGAUGAAUGUCUUCGGAUAGUAAAGUUCUGUCCUAGGGGAAGAUAAUGACGGUACCCUUGGAGGAAGCCCCGGCUAACUACGUGCCAGCAGCCGCGGUAAUACGUAGGGGGCAAGCGUUGUCCGGAAUUACUGGGCGUAAAGGGUUCGCAGGCGGUUACUUAAGUCAGAUGUGAAAUCUAGUGGCUCAACCACUAUAAGCAUUUGAAACUGAAUAACUUGAGUCAAGGAGAGGGAAGGGGAAUUCCUAGUGUAGCGGUGAAAUGCGUAGAUAUUAGGAGGAAUACCGAUGGCGAAGGCACCUUCCUGGACUUGAACUGACGCUGAGGAACGAAAGCACGGGUAGCAAACA
rnacentral:rRNA from 1 species